GCCCUGCACGCUCUUUAGUCGCACCACGGCCUGUGUCUCAUGCUCAUUGCUCACCAAGAUCUCCCAGGUCUGGAGGCAUCAGGAGGGAGAAGAGGGAAAUCAGUAUCACGAAGUUACCAGACCAAGGAGCCCUGCAACUGUCAUGGCUGGUAUCACCCUGGCACCUUCAUCAGCACCAGCCACCUCCUCUUCCACAUCAGCCCUGGUAUCUCCUUGCUGUCAGCUCUUCCACUUUCCCACUAUCCCCUCAUCAAGAGAUCUCUGGGCCCUUCCACCCCUGCAGCCAGAUGGCACUAUCCAAAGAGAAGUUCUAGAUGUCUACCUCCUUCAGCUAACAGAAGAGAGCACACUUAGCCAAUACCUCCAUCCCCAAAGGUUGCCUUCCAGCAUGGCAAGACAGAAGCAAAAGCUCUUAUAGGCAGGCCCUGGCUCCAGGGAUGAAGAUGGGAGCAUGAACAGUUCAGAUGCAACUGCCUGGUUCAGCUGUGAUCAACCUUGUUAUAAGAGGAAGAACUUUGCCCCUGCCUCAGUCUGGCACCCAUCCCAGAGGUGCCUACAUUCCUCUCUAGAAUGAAGACCGACACUGCUAGGGCUUCUGGAGUUCCCCAUUCUCAAACCACAACCAGAACAGAAACAUAGGCUUUGCAAUAACUCCACUGGUCCAACUUCCCCUGGAUGCCCACAAUUCUGCUUUCCCACCUGGGCUCUCCACUUCUCCUCUUUCUGACACAACCACCCUGUGCUCUCCACUUCUCUUCUUUCUGACACAACCACCCUGUGCUGGGAUGGGGAAUAGGGACAGUUAGAGCAGGACAAGGCAGCAAGGGCAAGGCUGAGGCUUCACCUUGCGGAAUAAAUUGAGAGGUGGGAGAUGGGGCAAUAGGGUCUGUGAACAAAAGCCUAGAGUAGAAAAGUCUCAGGCCUGGCACUGGCAGAACCUAGGAAAGUGAUUAGGUUGAGAGUACACCCUGCUUUCAUAUACAGGCAAGUGCGCACACACACACACACACACACACACACACACAGCUUGGCCACUCAGAAAACUGGUUCCAGUAUACUUUCAUAUACAGGCAAGUACACACACACACACACACACACACACACACACACACAGCUUGGCCACUCAGAAAACCGGUUCCAGUAUACUUUCAUAUACAGGCAAGUACAUACACACACACACACACAUACACUCACGCACACACACGCGCGCGCGCACACACACACACACAGCUUGGCCACUCAGAAAACUGGUGCCAGCAUGGGUUUGCUUUG
rnacentral:lncRNA from 1 species